CCCAGGAGAGCCUCUAAUUACAGAUUGCAACAUUGUUGCAAUCGGUUAACCAGCGCCACACACCUCUAAGUGUGUGGGCUAUUAGGGGUAGUGUUUUCGGUUCACGAACGGCCCUCCAAAGUGCCGUUCGUGCAACGAAAGGAAAACCCCAUACAAACAGCUAUCUGCAUUCGGCAGAUAGCAAAUACAGGCAAUUCAAUACAUUACAGUCAGCAUACAAUAUACGUAGUUAAAC